GCUGAGCCAGCUGAACCAGAUUAAACUAUCUUUCUGAUGAUAGGAACCUCACUGCCAGCAUCACUAGAAUUCCCAAGAUUACCACAAGACUCUCAAAAAUAGGUUUUGAAGAGCCAGAGCUUUCUUUGUUUCUUAUACUCAGGAUAGACCUUCUUACACUCUUCAAGUGUUAACAUAAGAUUGUGAAAAAUCUUCAUAUGCUUCUUAGAUAUAGUGUCAUCUUCAAAAUUCUCCACAACAUCAAAAGAACCAAUCAUGUUAACAACAAUCCUCUUAUCCCAACAAAAUAAAGGAUUAUAAGAGAGCUUAAUCAAGACUUUGAACUUAUAUUCAUGUUCAACACCUUUGUCCUCGAUCUUCAGAAGCUGAAUGGAAGAGUCUGCUUCACCACCAGAAUUAGACCUCUUUUUAGUGUCUCUAAGGAAACCAGGCAACAAUCACACCAACUUGACCUUUUACAUCCCAUUUCAUAGAUUUAUCCACAUAGAAAGCUAAAGAAGUAGCAAUCUUCUUCUCAUUAGUACUACUCGAAGUGAAGCUAAUAGCAAUAUCACAUACCUCUUUAGAAUCUGCCGCUCAAUUCUUCAAAAUUGGUAUAUAUGGAAAUAGAAUUAGAAGUAUAUCUCACACAACCUUCAUUCUUCUUCCCAAGCACCUUUCAUGUGUUGUUUCCCGUUGUCUGAUUCCUGUUUACCUAAAAAUAUGCUAAACAGAUCGUUG
rnacentral:lncRNA from 1 species